rnacentral:rRNA from 1 species
UGGCGCACGGGUGCGUAACACGUAGCUAACGUACCUCCUUGCUGGGGAUAACUCCGGGAAACCGGAGCUAAUACCGAAUAGUCUGAUACGGUCUGCGGAUUGUAUCGGUAAAGCCUUCGGGCGCGAGGAGAUCGGGCUGCGUCCCAUUAGUUUGAUGGUGGGGUAACGGCCUACCAUGGCGACGAUGGGUAGCUGGUCUGAGAGGAUGAUCAGCCACACUGGAACUGAAACACGGUCCAGACUCCCACGGGAGGCAGCAGUUGGGAAUAUUGGACAAUGGGGGAAACCCUGAUCCAGCAAUCCCGCGUGAGUGAUGAAGGCUCUCGGGUCGUAAAGCUCUUUCAAGCAGGAAAGAAGAUCUGACGGUACCUGCAGAAGAAGCACCGGCUAACUCCGUGCCAGCAGCCGCGGUAAU